rnacentral:rRNA from 1 species
GAUGAACGCUGGCGGCGUGCCUAAUACAUGCAAGUCGAGCGAAUGGAUUAAGAGCUUGCUCUUAUGAAGUUAGCGGCGGACGGGUGAGUAACACGUUGGUAACCUGCCCAUAAGACUGGGAUAACUCCGGGAAACCGGGGCUAAUACCGGAUAACAUUUUGAACGGCAUGGUUCGAAAUUGAAAGGCGGCUUCGGCUGUCAUGUAUGGAUGGAACCGCGUCGCAUUAGCUAGUUGGUGCGGUAACGGCGCACCAAGGCAACGAUGCGUAGACGACCUGAGAGGGUGAUCGGCCACACUGGGACUGAGACACGGCCCAGACUCCUACGGGAGGCAGAAGUAGGGAAUCUUCCGCAAUGGACGAAAGUCUGACGGAGCAACGCCGCGUGAGUGAUGAAGGCUUUCGGGUCGUAAAACUCUGUUGUUAGGGAAGAACAAGUGCUAGUUGAAUAAGCUGGCACCUUGACGGUACCUAACCAGAAAGCCACGGCUAACUACGUGCCAGCCGCCGCAGUAA